rnacentral:ncRNA from 1 species
AACAUGCCGAUGAAUGGAUGAGUAAACAAUAACGAGUGUUCAGAGAGCCGGGUUGCUGGGAACCGGUCACAAACGUAUUGUUGAAGAUGGUCCGCGAGGUUUUGCAUUUUAAGCGUAACGCGUGAGGAAUGCACGGUUCACCGACCGUUAGCAGGUGUGUAGCUAAUUGUAACUGAUUAGCGCUGUUGAGCUUCUCUAUCAGGAGAAGAAAGCAGGGUGGUACCACGUGAGUCCAACUCUCGUCCCUUCA